UUCUCGGCGUCUCGUGUGCUUCUUCUUCUUUCUCUUCACACAAAGUCGUAGAAGUUUUCAGACGUGUCACAGCUGGAUGUGAGGAUGGGACCCACUUUCCUCUGUGAGCUGGGCCUAUUCUUUCUCUGUACGCUCCUCUGCAGCGGACACGCUCAAGUUCCUGUGCUAACUGUUGAACCCAGCUCGACCAUUUUCAUCGGAGAGUUUGUUAGCUUCAAAUGUGACAUGAAGGAAGGAGAACACACUGACUGGGAAUACAAAAUUAUCAUGGACGGUCGAGAAAUUUUAAACUCCAACACAAACGAAGGUCUCAGUUUAAAAAUUGCAUCUACAGCUCAGAGUGGUAAAUACAGCUGCUCUGCGCACAUGAAGAGCUCACAGAAUACAAAGAACAGUAACACUGUCUCUGUAACUGUGUCGGCAGGUAAACCCAGGGCCACACUGACUCCAGGAUCAACUAUCAUACCAGUAGGGGGCAGUGUGACACUGACCUGCUCUGUGGGGAGCUCUGCUGGCUGGAAAUAUGAGUGGUUCAGACGUGACCCAAACACUGAGGUUCAAAUGAGAACAGAUGAUCAACAAAACAGAGUAAUCAGAGUAUCUGAAGGAGGAAUCUACCGCUGCAGAGGAAGAAGAGGAAACCCAGAUUACUACACUGAUAAAAGUGAUGAUGUCACCAUUGAGAUAACCUUUUCCAAUAAGGUUGUUGUAAAAGGACGACCCAGCUGGCCUCAGAUAUUCAGCGGUGAGACGAUCAGUCUGACAUGUGAGGUGCAGGAAGGAGGUGAAACCACUGAGUGGGAGUAUAGAUGGAGAGGACCCAAGCAAACCACACAGUGGACUCACAAUAAUUACUGGAUAUUCAAUGUUUCUGAGUCCAGCAGUGGAGACUACAUGUGUAAGAGUCGACGCAGAGAUGACUCAUAUUCUUCAACAGAGUGGAGUGAAGCCUUCAACUUGUCAGUAUCAACAGGUAAACCCAGGGCCACACUGACUCCAGGAUCAACAAUCAUACCAGUAGGGGGCAGUGUGACACUGACCUGCUCUGUGGGGAGCUCUGCUGGGUGGAAAUAUGAGUGGUUCAGACGUGACCCAAACACUGAAGUUCAAUUCAGAACAGAUGAUCAACAAAACAGAGUAAUCAGAGUAUCUGAAGGAGGAAUCUACCGCUGCAGAGGAAGAAGAGGAAACCCAGAUUACUACACUGAUAAAAGUGAUGAUGUCACCAUUGAGAAAACCUCUGUGCUCAGUUCUGAGAGCUCUUCAUUUCUAAUGAUCGCUGGACUAAUUUCUGGAAUCACAUUUAUUUUCCUCCUGCUCUUGCUGUGUUGCUGCAUGAAGUCCAAAGUGUUUAAUAAAGGUUCAGCUGAUGACCAGAGGGUCAGUCAGGAUGAAGAUCAGCAGCAGGUGUACUCCUCUCUUCUUCAUGGUGAUCGUUGUGUCUAUGAGACAAUCAGAGGCUCUAAAAACACUGAGACUGGUCAAAUAGAAGGUGAUUCAUGUGUGAUUCAGCUCAAAGUGAUUAACAAGACACAGCCCCGUGGUGACCCAGAGGAGAGCUCUGACUAUUAUAAUGUCAAUCCAAAUUCAACCCCAGGUCCAUAAAGAGCAGCUCACCAUCAACACAAUGAGGAAAGUGACUGAUGACAACAGCUUCUGUUGAGGAGACAAUAUGACAGGUUUUACAUCACAUUAUAGCCAAACGUCUAAAAUAUUUUUAAAAUUGUUCUCUGUUGAUAUAUUUUCUGUUUAAUUUUACUCUUUGAUUUCCUCCCUGACACUGUGGUAUUAGUUUGUGUUAGAAAUAAUAUUAAAUGGUAUAAUAUACACUUAGUGCUCUUGUUUCGUAUUUUAUCUGGGAGCAUUUAUAGCUUUUAUAGAAAAUAUAUAAAAUGUAGAUUGCAUAACAUCCGAUGCAGCAAGAAAACAUUUUAAACAUGAUGUUGAGCAGAUAAUAAUCUGGUUUUAAAUUCAGCUUUUGCUGUGUCACAUGCAGGUAACAGUGAAUAUUAUUGCUGAAUGUGAUCUCCUACAUUAUGUCAGACUUAAUGAUGCAACACAUGCUGUAUGGAUUUGAAUGUAUCAGUGAAUGUAUUUUGUAUGUGUGUGUUUUCUCUGGAGAUUUUUUUUUAUUUCUAGCUAUGAGCUGUAUUUCUGUUGUAUCCUACAUCAUGUUUGCAAAGUAAAACUCAAAAACAAAGGUUUUUAUUUGGCGUUUAUUUAAAUUACAUUAUGCACUAUGAACACAGACAAUUAUAAUUACAUUGAAGCUCAAUCAACACACUUAUUGGUUCCUUGAAAUGCUGCUAAUGAUAUUUUGUGUUAAAGUGUAACAGGACAAGCAGCAAAGUCAGCUUUUUGUCACAUUUCUACUUUUCGUCCUCCUCUUCUUCUUUCAUCCUCAACAACUGUGCUGUAAAAACGUCCAAACUUUGGCACAAUGAUGAACGGAUGAGGCUUUAUUUACUUAAUUAUAGUUUUUUUUCUAUCAUUGUAGCACUGUCAAUAGAUUAGGAACAGUGUUAUAACUUAAAAAAAAAUAAAUUUCAAAAUAAGGUACCACUGAUUCUUUGGAAAUUAGUAACGUCUUAUUUGGCUUAGACUAUCUGUCUAUAAAACCAGUCAAACUGAACAUAAAGUGUCCAUAGUUAUAUUUUUGGGGGGUUGGUAAUAUUGUAUUUCUAUUUUAUAUUCACACAAACCCCUGCAUGUCCUCCUUGACUUCAUCCAAAAAUCUUCUCUCUGGUCUUCAUCUGUGCCUUCUUCCUGGCAACUCCAUCGUCAGCAUCCUUUCUCCAAAAUAUCCCCCAUCCCUCUUCUGCACAUGUCCAAACCAUCUCAGCCUUGCCUCUCUAACUUUGUCUCCAAACCGCUCAACCCAGGCUGUCCCUCAGAUCUGCUCACUCACUCCCAGUGAAAAUCCAAACAUCUUCACACCACCCGCCUUUCUGUCAGUGACACCAUCUCCAAUCCUUACAUCAGAGCAGGUCUCACUUCUAUCAUGCUGCCCACUAUUUCUGAGAUGUUUAGAUAUUUAUUUUAAUUUGCUUUGUGAGUUUGUCUUUAAUUGGACUUAUUUAACAGUUGAAAAAUGUCGUGUGAGUCUCAGUUUUAUUUAGUUUUAUUUUGAGAUACUCUGAUUACUCUGUUUUGUUGAUCAUCUGCUCUAAGUUGAACAGUGUUUUGGUCACGCCUCUACAAUCUUCCCUUUGACAGUUUUACUGUUUGAUUGCAUGAACAGAAGAACAAUGUGCACACAAAAGCGAACACCGCUUACAACAUACUAUUUUCUCAUUUUCUAGAUGUUUUGGGGCGAGUCAGUCCCUGAGCAUGAAUCAAGGCUCUGCUCUCACCCAGAAUAAAACUAAAGUUUAUUCCUCUCAGCUUCGUGGUCACCAACACUUCCACAUUUACAUCUAAAAUCUAAAUCUAAAAUCUCAGACAGAUGAAACUAAUGCUCAAGUGUAAAUCUUCACAUCUGUGAUGAACAUGAUUAAACUUUAAACAUGAAUGUUGACGAUAUGAUUGUUCAUGAGCCUCCAUUUUUAAUUAAGUUUGGCUCUCCAAAACAUGAAAUGGGCACGCAUGCAGAGGUUGCUUUACUGAAUACAAACAUUACAGCAGCAGCAGCAGCAGCAGCAGGGGGAGAUAAUAUAUUUAAAGAAAAGACACCACUUGUGAGCAAGCAACUGUAGACCAGUAUUGAAGUACAUUCCAGUUUCCUUAAUCACCACAAAUAUUUUAUGUAUGUUUCUGAUAUUUAUAUAUGUGUUAAAUGGGUUAAUAAUGUCUAUUUAAGUGCUUUCUGUAAUUAUUAUUAUGUUGCCUUGACAUAAAAUAUCUCCCUCUGCUGUUAUUGCAGUGUAUUACAACUUACUGCAACAUCUGGGUGGACCAGUGUGUCUAGUAUACAUUAUGGUGUGAUAUCAGGUUGAACCAGGGGAGGCCCAUGUAUAGAGGCUGCCACCACCAUAAAAAUACACCACUGGUCAAUGUUUUUGAACAGCCCAAUUUUUCCAGUUGGACUUAAAAAUAUAUCGUGGAAUCAAUUUAUAGACCAACAUGUCUUCUAAACUUUAUACUCAUCAAAGUAAACACCUCUGGCAGACAUGACAGCUGAACACGCUCGUGGCAUUCUUUCUACAAGAGAAAUCAAAUAUUCUUCACAAAGUUCUUCUCAUUUCUGUUACAGAUGUUCCCAUGAAUGUGUGUCACUUGAGGGUUGCUUUGCUUUCACUCUUCUGUCCAGUUCAUCCCAAACCAGCUUGAUGGGGUUAAAGUUUGGAUACUGUGCUGGACACUCCAUGUUUUCAAGCUUACCAUCUUCUUUUUUCCUGAGGUAGUUCUGGCAUAGCUUGGACUGUCUUUCAGCUUUUAUGAACCUUGACCAACUAGAUGCUUACCAGAGGGUACUGUAUGGUGGUGCAGAAUGCUGUGGCAGCUGUUUUGGUUCAGGGUGCCUCUCAUUCUGCACAAGUCACCGACCCUGGAUCCAGCACACAGCCGGAGACCAUCACGCUUCUUCCUCCAUGUUUGGCACUUGAUGCCACACACUGUGGCUGUUCUGUGUUGCAGUUCUGUCACUAUGCAAACUGGGUUUGAGGACUUUACACAGGCCAGACUGUCUGGAUUUUCAGCAGGCUCCACCACUGUUUCUGCUUAAAGCUCAGCACCCCUCCUGACACAGCACAGAUUUAAACCAUAAAGUGUGGAGGCUGAUUGGCCCAAAGAAGGAGGGCAAGAAGAUGAUUGGACUAGAGUAAUGAUGUAAGUAUAGAGACUGACAGUGAUAGUGAUGCAGAGAACAGAAAAGCAGACUAACAGCCAGGAAAGCAGAUGACUGAUUACAGAUCUUCCUUACACAUAGACAACUCAACUUACACAUAAGCUUCAUUUACAAUUAUCGUUUUGCAGCUUAACCAAAGAGUCACUGAUUUAAUGAUAUUUUUCUUUAAAUCUGCUAAGUUAACAGGUGUAAGUGGAGGCCAAGCAACAUAACUGCAUUCUUCUUCCUCUUCUUCUAUCAGGCCCAUGAAGUGUGCUGUACAAUGGUUUGAACGAUGGCACACCGAUGUUGGGACUAACGUUGAAGUCUAGUAUGGCACACUAAAGCUCACCAGUAAACCUAACAAGAAGCACAAAUGUAUUUAGAGCAUUCAUACAACAUCUGUGUUUCCAGCUGUGCUCUGUUAUCCAACAAUCAGAGACUGACAGUGUUUGUCUGUAGUCAGCCUAAAGAAUUGUAAUAUCUGGAUUUACUCUGAUUACUAAUUCUCAAACAGUUUAUGGAAAACUCCUACAGUAUUUUCAGGAAAUGGAUUUUGGAUUUGAGUUAAAGUGUUUCUUCAGUUUCAUCUCAGUGAGUUUCAGUCUGUGCUUGUAACUGAACGAUUAUCUGCUGCAGAUUGAACGACCUGCCAUUUUAAAGUCAGUCAAAGUUUGUUCGAUCUCAAAAACAUUUCCCAUGAGCCUCAGGAAGUAGCUCACUGUGUGGUUACUGAGUGACAAAGUUAACAGCUUUCACCUCUUUGAAUGCAACAGUUACAAGAAACAGAGACAAGAGAAGGGAGGGAGGGGACUUCAUCUCACUUCCUGAAUUUGAGUGAACAUUUGACCAGAACUGAACUUCAUGUUCAAAGACUGCAGUGAUGACUUUACAUUAGUGAAGUUUGUCAGUUAAAAUGAUAAAUAAAGUAUUUUUAGUCAAAGAUUUCACUGUUGUGGGAAAAAGUGCUUUGGCCUGCUGUGACUAUUUGCUCUGACAGUUUGAACCCAUCAGAAUGAUGUGUUUGUGUGGUGGAGCAUCUGUGAGAGUGACUAUUAUUGGUGUCAAAGCUCCCAGCAAACACAACAAGCAGACGAGGAGCAGACAAAGGAAACAAAUGUCCAUCGUUGUUUCUGUAAGAAGUCAGUCGAGCUCCAAGACUUUAAUGUCAAGGCUUCCAAUGCAGUUCUUCCAGGAUUUGAAAUGUUUCCAAGCCUUCAAAUGUUUUGAUGGCCUUUAUGUUUAAUACAUCAAAACUCUUAACUACACCUAAAAAAGAAAAAUAGUCAAUAGAGGCCACUUUCACCAUCCAGGGUAAACUUACUUAUAACUUUAUGACUGAAUUUUAGUAAUUUAGUAAUUUAAAGAGUAAAAAGAAACUAAACUAAAAUUAAAAUUUAAAAAGUGUCCACAAACUUACCUCUGCCUGUACUCCAUGUCAGGGUUCAAAUGAAUGAACACAAACACAUUUUAUUAGUUUCAGGAGUGGAACAGUUUUGACAAUGAAGGAAGUAGAGAAAGAAGAAGUUUUAAAGU